ACAGUCUGAUUCAGUUCUCGUUAGCUUGCAGCUGAUGUUCCUUCUGAUGGGUGAAUGUGUUUUUAUUCCACAGUGAUAAUCUCUGCUGCUGCUGAUCCACUGAAGACCCUGAGAGCCUCUGUAGGAGGAAACAUCACUCUGCCCCAUGCUGUGAAGGAGAAAGGAUUUCUGUUAUAUGAAAGAAACAAUUUAGCUCAGGUGGACAAGAAGAACCUGUUGGAUAUAUAUGGAGAAACUUACAAGGAGAGACUUCACUGGAACCAGAACACAGGAUAUUUUACUCUCACCAGGCUGCAGAAAAGUGACUCUGGGAUCUACACAGUUGACUCGAAGGAAGGAAGAGGUGCUUCAGUAGAAUAUAAACUGAUGGUGUACGACUCUGUACAGACUCCUAAUGUCAGCAUAUUGAACAGCAGCUCUGAGAGCUGCUCUCUGAGUUGCUCUGUGGACUCAGCUCAGGAGGACACCACGCUGCUGUGGUCCAAAGACCUGAAGAUCCUGAAGAAGAACCGCUCUGCUGCUUCUCUGUCUCUGACUUUAUUCUACUGGCAGGACCUGGACUCUCCUCUUCAAUGUGUGGCUGAAAACCCUGCAGAGAAUAAAACAGUGUCAGUUGAUGUGAGGACAGUCUGUCCACUGAACCAUAGAGGGAACCCCAGCAGCUCCACAGACUCCAGGCAUCAUCUGAUCCUCAUCAUUCUCAUCCCCAUGGUGUGUAGUAUCAUCUUCAUCCUCUGUGUUUCUGCCGUCUGGAGGUUUAGUCGUCAGCAGGAUUCAUCAGCAGGACAGACAGGCAGGCUCCUCUUCUGUUACUUUCUCCAUCAUAAA